AAAAUGGGGAUAAUAACACCCAUGUUAUAGAGUUAUUCUGAUGAUUUCUAAGAGUCUCAGAGACCUAGGAUCCACAAAAUCAAAACAACAAAACCAAGCCUUUGUGCACAUCUGUGGUUGUGACCAGUUGGAGAGACAUUAGGAGAUGAGAUACUAUGUUCACUCCUCACAGCUGUACCAGGGACCUGAGAUAUUCCGUCACUAUUCUAUGAAUGGUCUGGCUUGAUGAUAUCCAACCUGACGUGGCCUGAAGAGACAGACAGUGGCUCUUGCUAGCUAAUUAUUGUCAGAUGGAUCGGCAGCCGACCAACGCUUCUGAAACUAUUGUUUUUGGCAAAUGUUCCUCAACAUUUUCCUGGGAGCUAUGGUGCAUUACUCACGAGUGACAGAACCAACGAGCUUCAUCUCCCAAGAGGCUGGUGCAUCUGUUUAAAGGAGCAGGCACUAGGCAGAGCAGCCCCCACCCCACCCUCCAUGGCAGAGUGCAGUGGGGGAAGGGAUGGGAUUUCA
rnacentral:lncRNA from 1 species